rnacentral:lncRNA from 1 species
CGGUUUGCCACCAUUGGCCUCGGUUAUUUGGGGAACAAUGGGGGGGGCUGCACCACAUUAUUAAAAGGCAGCGACUAAUGAUGAAAUGCGUGUGAAUUGAUGUUUAAUUAGGUCUUCAUAUAUACGUGUUAAACUUCUUUAUGUAUGAAGAGUUUAUAGUUCAGAUAAUUGUUAAGAUCUUCAGCAAAAACAAAUAGCUUAAGUAUAGUAAUAACAUAUAAGAUGAAAGUUUCAGUCCUGACAUUUCCUUUGGUCUCUGCUUAAUUCAAGCAUUUAAAGCGCGCGCUUGUGUGUGUGUGUGUGUGUGUGUGUGUGUGUGUCCUUCCCUCCUGGUGUUGGGAGAAAAAAAAAAUCCGUGAAUAGGAAUUCUGUUAUUUGUCACUAACGUGUCGUGCCCCGACCCCCACUUCUCUUAGUGUUUCCUUCAGUCUCCGAUUUUCCGGUUGCUUGCUCAACCCGGGAAAAUUCAAAAGGAAGUGACCCCGCCUUCUCAUUAAUAUUUAACACUAAGGGGCUGGAAGGAAGCAUCAGAAAAACCCUCUCAAGAAAUUCAACCUGGGUCUGCCCGCCCCACACGGCCGCCGCCCCCGCCCUGCGCGCUUUCCUCUACAGCACAAUAGCCCGGCGGAGCCGCGGAGCUUGCACAGCCCGAACAGCCCUCUGGAGCCAAACUGAACUCCAGCCCGCAAGGCAGCCUCCGGGCGGAUGGACAGUCCCGGGCCCCCAGUGGUGAACACGGCGGUCAGGGGCUCAGGGCGGUGUGGGCGCGCACCAGGGAUCGCGUUUCUGCCCUUCUGCAGCUGCGUGACUGUCCCCGCACCUGGAGCCCUGCGCGAGGUGGUUUGCACCCUCCAAAGACCCUUGCUAGUGUGGGAGGGAUGCUGAGGAAGGAUUUGUCUUGCAGAGUGGCCAGUGCCCCAGACCUGGUAAGAGCAUCUCAACAGCCUCCCUCCUCUCCCUCUUCCUUCUCUUUACUACAUCCUACCUAAUGAUCAGACC